UCCCUAAACUCACUUAAGGGCUGGCAGCCAAAAGGGGAGCAUCUCUACAUGGAGAUUACCUCUUUUGGGAGUUUCCAGCAAGCCCUGAUCCUUGGGAAGUGCUGCUCAGCAAGACCUCAGGUGGUAGCACUCAGCCCGUGGUGAGACUCCAAUCUCCAUUGGCCCGAGACUCAUUUUGGACACUGCAAGUCUCCCCUUAAUGUGGGGAAGAUUCAAUUUAGGCUUGAGCUGUGCCCUGACAGAAGGCUUCAGAAUGAGCAGCGCAGCAUUACAAGGGACUGGUUCCUGGGGUCUCCUGCUGGGGUCUGCCUCUGGCCCAUAACCCCUGUGGUCCAACCCAUCCCUCUCCUUCUUCGUGCUGGAAACAGUGCAGCCACAGAACAGGUCCUGCCGCCUCAUUACCAACAAUGGCAUUUCAGCUCAUGUUUACAAGAUGUCUUAAUUCAAGCCAUGAUGGGAGUUCAGAUUUUCUUUUUUUCCACCGUGCUCCUGGGUAAUGCAUUUCAGGAAGAACGGAAAGCAGAACAUUUUGUAGUGGGACACAGCAGUCAGCUGUUUUCUGGGCAGAUCUGCCUGAGUCUUUUAGGAUCAGUCAUGGUAAAAACUGCAUUUAUAACAGCCCAUAGAAAUUAAUGGUAGUAACAAAUAAAAAUUUUGUAUCUAGGAUUACAGUGAGAUGGAUAAGAAGUCUGGACAAGUGUUUUUCCUGAAAGAAAAUUAGUUUUAUAAUAUCUGAAAUAUUGUUAUUUAUUAUCUCUUUAAAAAUGGAGAAGAUAUUUCAUUCCUCUUUUCCCUUAAUUACCUUCAUUAUGAAACGUUUGACUGAGCCCAAUUACAAAAUGACAGCAAAUGCUGUCUUUGGAAAAAUCAGUUUGAAACAUAUUCAGUGUUUUGAUCAACUUUCAUCAUCCAACAGUCCAAAUGAAUUACAGCAUCUCAUGGCGUCUACUAAGGCAAGGUGUUGGUUUGUCCUGCCAAUGGGAGUUUGGGACUGUAGAUGAGAGAGAAUGCAUGGGUCAGUGGAGAGUUUCUCUGGGAUUGAGAUUAUUAUUAUUAUUAUUUUUU